rnacentral:lncRNA from 1 species
AUGGAAUCUGGCAAAACAACAAAGAAAGAAACAAAAGUACAUGCAGCUGUGGAAACUCCAAAGUCAAAAGCAGGACUUGAAAAAAAAGAAGGAAAAGCAACAAAGGCAGCAAUGCAAGAUAAAUCAAAGAUGAAACAAGGAAAUCCUGGAAAAGAGAAAGAAUUGAAAUCUCCAGCUGCCACAAAAGAUAAAGAACAUGCUAAAGAAAAGGAAGGGAAGAAUCCUACAUCUUUAAAAGAAAAAGUAUUUACAGGUCCUUCUAACAUGACAAAGGUGGCUAGACUUUCUCCGCACAACCUUCAGAAAAAAGCAGAUUCCCUGAAAGGAAAAAAUCCCAAGAAUCCAGAGACCAUAAAAGAAAAAGAGAGUGGAAAAAGAAAAGAUGUGAAGCCUCCAACAGCCUUAAAGGAAAAAGACUCUUCAAAACGAAAAGAAAUUAAGGCUUCAACUAAUCCUAAGGAAAAAGCUGCAGUGAAAAAGGAGGGGGAGAAGAAAGGGAACAGCACAUGAAAACGUCAGAAGCUGAGGAUGUAUUGAGAGGAAGCUCUUCAGGUCUUUCACCACAAAUGCCUAAAGAUGAAAUGCAUUAAUGCAGCAGAUGUACCUCAUCUACAUUUGACUGAAAUUUUAUUCUUUCCAGCUCUAUCAAUGGAAGAUUUGUCCUCCUGGGAUAUUAGGACUUAUAGUACUUUAAAGAUAUUAGUUUUCAGUGCCAUCAUGCAAGAUUGCUGUUUCAACAACUUACAUUUCCCAGAGCAUUUCUAUCGUUUAAGUGACUUUGGGAAAAAAAUAUUGGGAUCAUUACUAAUGACUCUUAAAGGCAUGCAUCUCAGAUUGAAGUUCAAGCAAUUCCUCUUAUUAAAAGUCAUUUAAAAAUGUUGGAAAUGUCUCUACUUCUUUGCUACUUCUAGUAUAUUUGCACCAUUAUAAAGUUUUUCCCUUCCCUCCUCUGUUACCUUUUGGUUUUCCCUGUUAUAUAAAGUACUCUUGAACUGCCAGUUAAAAAAAGUCUUAAAAAACAAGUUGCUCUGGACAACAUCAACAAAAUUCUCCAAAACCAAGAGUCAGCUCAUUUUUCAAUAUGUAGCCCUGAGGCAUAAAAAAAACCAAACAGCAAGGACACAAACACGACAGCUCUAGGAAAGCAGAUAGAUAUCUUGGGUUAGGCUUCUCUUGUAAAGAAAAUAAAGCCGAAAGAACUGUGAGAGCAUCCUGACAGCUUUUUUUAGUGGAAGUGGCAAUAGAAAGAUUAGUCUGUUGUAAGUGAAUACCGUACAGGCUAUAAUAUCAAUGGUAAAGUAUUAAUGAAUAUUGAAACCCAUGGCAUUUUAGGAGGGUUUGUCUUAACAAUUUAUCAUAUUAUCAUCCUUGAGCCACUGCUGAUAGAGUGAUCCAAGGAAAUCUGUGUAGAUGCACAGACUCAGAGGAGCAUUCCUAGACCAAGAGUAGGAGUAAGAAGAUCAAGAUUUCUGCUUCCCUACAAAUAUUCCAGACAGUCUUAAUCACUUAGCAUUUCAUACUCGUCAUGUUAAUGUGGUAUAAUAGUUCCUCCAUGUUUAUUAACCUGGACAAAUAUCCUGGAAAAUUUAGGUUUAAGGCAAGCCAGAAAUGUAAAAUGGAUGUUGUAGGGAAUUAAUAGACCAUGUGAGGACAAGGUUUGUACAGCAUGCAGUAUAUUUUAAUCAUAUACCAUAUUUGUGCCACCACCACACAAUUCUUGCUUUCUUUAUUUUGACUCAGCCACAGGGUAAUUCUUGGUCAUACUCUUCAAGGCAAUUUUUUAUUGUAGAGCAGAGGUCAGGAUGAGCGCAAGCCAUUCUCUUCCCAGGAAUCCUGAUGCAGCUAAUCUGGUUUUUGAGUCACUUUUUUAGACAUAUGCUCAGUAGACUGGCUUUGCAACACAGUCUGCCAGCUGUUCAUCUAGCCAGAAUAACUUGAGUAAGACACGGAUAGAUAUGACAGAUCAGGUCUGCCGAUCUAAAAAACUUAUGCGAACAUUUGACUUCUCCUUUGAAUGACAAAGAGUACAGACAACUUCACAAAUGUAGGGAAUUGCUCCUUACCUUAUUAGGUAAGCCCUAAUAAUCCUCUUUUUUCUGAACUUAUUAUCUGAGAAAUAUAAGGAAUGUAUUUUAUUCUGUUUGACUUCUUAAUAAUGCAGUUGCUUUACAGUUUAAAAAACCUUGACCUAACUAGACCAAAACUGUCUUAUUUAAAUUAUGCACAAUGAUGUUGUCUCUUAAGUUCUUGAAACUUAAAUUUGGGAGAAAUGUCCACUAAUUUGUCUAAAGGACAAAGGGUUUGUUUGCCCAUAGUUCAGAUAGAAUGAACUUAUAUUAAAUAGAGAAAUCAAAUUUUAUCUUUGUCAUGAUUCAUAAACUGAAAGGUAUACAAUUAAAAUUUGGAUAAUUCUAUUAGAAGAUUCCUGCUGAUCUUGAUCUCUCUCUCGGCCUGUAAUGUAGUUACAGAUUAACAUUAUGUGUGUGUAUUCAUACGAUGUCUAGUCCAGAACAUGGCAAAGAAUCUCUGUGCUGUCUUUAAUGGGAAAUAAACCAGGCUCUUACUUUGUCUAAUGGAAAGUAAAUUUCUUAUUUAUAAUACACCUGUAACUAUCUAAUCGGAAAUAAUUUUCCCCAGCUACAACAUGUGUUAUUAUUCUGUUUUUCUUAACUAAAACAAGUUUUUCUGGCAUAGCUUUCAUUUCCUGCAAAACAUAUUCUUUUCUUACAGAAUGUGCACACUCAGAAAUGUAUUUGCUGUCUGAAUGGCAAAUAACAGUUACAUAGAUGGAAAAUAGACUUUAUAAUCAAAAAGCACAUUCUGCUUUUAGCCUUACCAAUUUAUGGUUCAAUAAAGUGCAGGAUUUCAUUUCUGAACCCAUAUCAGAAUCUAAUUUACAAAAAUGUUCCAUAUAUAAUUAAUACCCUUGCAGCCUUCAGAAUAGUAGGCAAGUCAAAAAAAUUUGAAGUGAAAAACAGCAAGAUAUCUAUGAAGCCUAUUUUCCAAGUUAAAUUUAGAAUGGCAGAAAAGACAUUACAAAUUUUUGCUGAGAGUAGAACCAUAUAAUUUAAUUGAUCCAGUUCUUAUGUAGCUUCAAAUACUUCAUCAAAAAUCCAACUGUUUUUAUUCUAUUAAAAUCUGACCUCCUCUAGUACAAUUUAAGUGUUAAAUAAAUGAAAAUAAAACACUUACUUAGGACUGAAUUUUCUACCAUUGUGAACAAUAAAUACUUUUUUACCCAGCAGGUAGUCCUGUUAGCUAAUGACAUCAGUACACCUAUUUGAAAUGAGACCAGGAGUUGAUUUAGCCUAACACCCUCUUGCCAUCAGUGGCCAAAACAAAAAAAUGCUUGUUUGCACUUUCAGUGCAAGAUACUACAUGAAGUGUGUGUGAUUCCCAGAGCUGCAAAACAAAGUUUUUAAUUUCUCAUCCUUUAAGCUAAAUUACAUAUAUCAUUACACACUAGUCUGACCUGGACUAUCAUCUUGCCAUUUUCACUAAGUAGAAUAAAAAUGAAGGUAACCAUGUUAUAGAUAAUUGUGUUACUGUAAAAAUGAACCUAAUGGUCUUGGGAUUUCAUUUUUUAAGUUUCUGCUUUGUCUGUACAUCAUUUGAGUUGCAUUUUUUAAUGCAAGAAGGAUAACAUGAUUAUUGAAUUGAAUGAAAUCACAGCAAAACAUACAGGUUUAUAUUUAUGGCCCAAAUAUCAUUUCAAAAUUUCAUCUUGCUGUUUUGUUUUGGCUCUUUUAAUAGUAAAAAAUAUAGAUUUUUUUUUUUUUUUUAGAAUAACCUAGAGAUUUUUAGAAUAACCUCUAGAGACUUUUAACUUUAGAAUAUCUACAUUACUUUAUCAAAAUAUCUGGUAGAAAUAUCUCUGAGGUUUAUGCCAGAAAUAAGGAAGCUGGAGUUUCAGGCAAAGCACAGAUAGCAGUAAUCUCAGUCUUCAAUCUGUCUUGACGCCAACAUUAUACAAGUUUGUCUAAUUAAUGCCUCCACAGAAAAGAUGAAAAAGGACAACAGAGAUACUUUCACAAACUUCAGGGACUAGACUUUAACUGAGUUCCUGUUGUUUUAAACAUUCUCUGUGAUUUAUAUUUACCAAUAUAAAAGGGGAAAUAACUGUUUUGGCUUCACUGGAAAGUUAAGGAGUAAUAGUUUUGUUUUGAUUUUAGCCAGAUCCUAGAUAUGGAUAUUAUUACAAAAGUUUGCUUGUAAACUUUGUUAAGCGGUGUCCGUAGAGAGUAUUUAAAUUAACACUGUUCAUAUGUAGCCUAGUUAUGAUUAUUUUGGGUGAUUACUGAGAGAGUUUUAUGACACAAUAUUCUGUAUUAUUAUGUAAGUCAUUAUAUUAGUUAAUGGUUUAAUGUUCAGAUUUGAUUUAAAUAUUUGCUUUGAAAUUCCUUUUUGAAAAUUGAAAUUUGUAUUUCCUGAACAUAUCUCACUAUGUCUUUUGGCACAAUAAAAAAUUAAUUUCCUCUACAAAUUUCUGACAUAUUUCACAGAAACUCAAUUGCAAUAGAAUUUGCCUCAGCUUAUGAUACUUAGAGAAUGACAUUUUUGUUGGUUUUACAGUGUUAAAUGAGUCUAAUUUUACAAAAAAGUUUACUCACACUCAUAAAAAUAACAAAUGUGGCUUUGUCUUCGGACAUUUUUUUUUUUUUUGAACACCUAUUUCUGAUUCCUCAGUUCAGAGCAAGCAUAUACACUUACUUUGUAUCUUUACUCUUUAUUAUCCACAAAAAUGUUCUGGGAUUUUUUUCACUUUGUCCUGUACACCAUCUCCAGUUGCUGUCUCCUUAAAUUCACGACAAUAACCUGCAUUAGAGACUGGAUAUAAAAUGGGAGUAGAUUGUAUACUGCAGGGAAAACAAGUGAAACAGAAACCUACAUGCAGAGCAGUUUUUGGCCCAAGUGGGAGCUGGUGAGCUCAGGAGCUCAGUGAAUCACAGCCUGGGAGCUCGCAGCAGCAUUUUAUUGCUUGUGCUGCUGGGGCUGCAAAGGCAGCUCAUCCCCUGCCCUGCCACAUCUCCUGGUGGGAUUACUCUCUCCACACACAGAAGACACGCAGGUGGUAGAGCCUUUUUUCUCUUGGAAACAACAGCUGCAUAGCAAAAGUCAAGAAGAAAAUUCCAGCUGGAGGGCUAGGGCUUGACAUUUCACUUCCUUCUGCAGAACCAAUAAUGACUUUGGGUACAGCUAUCAAGCUCUCUAUUUACCUGAGGAAUGUUGCCUUAACAUUCAUGGAAAGUAUUCAUUUGGUUUUCAGUUUUAUUUCAUCUGCGAUUUUUUUUUUC